GCUCCAUAGCACUCCCCUCACAAGAAAAAGGUUAGAUAUGGAGGAAGUUGAGGCUCAGAGAAACGGAGAAACUUGUUCAGGAUCUGAUGAUGAGUCAGGGACCUAAAGAUGCCAGUAAGAGGUGGAAUUCCAAGGAAAAGCCACAGGAGACCACUGAGCUUGAAGAGCAGGUUAAGUCAGAACCCACUGGAGGAAGGCCAAUGUCCAAAUGAUCAGCAAAUCAGGAAGAAUUUCUAAUUUGGAAAUCAAAUAACUGCUUCUGGAUCGUGAGUGAUGAGGCAUCUCUUGGUGCUUUGUGAGUGCGGCCAGCGUUCCGGGCGUUACAAUGGAACUUCUGAAACUACUAAAUCAAGAGAGCAAGAGACAGAGACAGAGAAAGCAGUCUAAGGUGGAGGGCCUUUUGCAGACAACUACAGCCACGGACUGCUUAACCACGGGGAUAUGUUCUGAGAAACGUGUUAGGUGAUUUCGUCAUUGUGCAAACAUCACAGAGAGCAUUUACACAAGUCUAGAUGGUACAGCCUACGACAUACCUAGGAUAUAUGGUAUAUUCUAUUGCUCCUAGGUAUAAGCCGGUACAGCAUGUUACUGCACAAAACAGUAUGAGAUUAAAUCAAGCACAAGAGAAAAUGAUAUAAAACUGGAAGUAACUGUAAAUGAGCAUGAUGUUUCUUUGUAGGAUGAUGGAAAUGUUCUAAAAUUAGAUGUCAUAAUGACUGCAUAACUCUAUAAAUAUGCUAACAUUGAUUGACCUAUAUACUUCAAACAGGUGCAUUUUAUGGUUUAUAAGUUAUCUUAAUAAAAAUAUUAACA